rnacentral:lncRNA from 1 species
UCUGCUGCGAAGGGAGAUGGCCGGGAAGGGAGGCAAGGGGCUGCUUGCGGCGAAGACGACGGCGGCCAAGGGCGCCGCCGACAAGGACAAGGACAAGAAGAAGGCGCCUGUGUCCCGCUCGUCCCGUGCCGGGAUUCAGGUUUGCCCGCUCCCCAAUUCCCCCUCUUUCCUGUAGCUAUUUUGUGGACCGUUCUCGCGGGUGAAUUGUUAGAUCUCCAAGUGUUUCCUGCCGCGGAUCUGGUGCCAUGCUGCACCUUAUGUUUGUACGAGAUUUGUUGUAGAAUCUUAUUGUGCUCCGUUGUCAGUAUUGAUUAUCGAUUUGUAGUAAUGAUUAUCGGUUAGCUGGUUCGUUUAGGUUGUCUCCCCCAUCCUAGUCGGAGUUUGUUUGUUAUGUUGUAAACUAUGCCAGAUCUAUGUUUUGCACUCCUGCAAUGUUAUGACAGUAUACUGAUUGCAGGCUUCAGUGCCAUGCACUGGCAAAAGUACCGUAUUUUAUUGAUCUAUUAACUUGUAGCUGUACCUUUUGAAUUCUACCCACACUUGUACUGUACUAUUGUGGGAUCCGUUUAUGAUUUUUUCUACUCCCUCCGUCCCAUAAUAUAAGAUCGUUUUUUACACUAGUGUAGUGUAAAAAAUGCUCUUCUAUUAUGGGACGGAGGGAGUAUAUAAUAAUAACAUUGCUGGAGACAGGCAUGCGUUUUUGUGAUGCAAGCAUUGCUCUCUGCUUGGUUACUUGCACCAUUCAAGGGGAUGUACUCUUCCAUGUUAUCAACUUAAUACUGAUACUUGUUCUGUAUCUGGCACAGAUAAUAUGUGUUUGAUCUAAGUUUCAGCUUGGGACAUCCAUUAUCAGAAUUGAUGUAUUUACUGUUCAUAUCUUUUGCAUGUUUAAAUUGUGACCUCAUCAAUUACCGAUCAUGACCUGCUCGUGUGUUUGCACUAUGCAGUUCCCGGUGGGCCGUAUACACAGGCAGCUCAAGCAGAGGGUCUCGGCUAAUGGCCGUGUGGGUGCCACUGCCGCUGUGUACUCUGCAGCAAUCCUUGAGUACCUCACUGCCGAGGUCCUUGAGCUGGCCGGCAACGCCAGCAAGGAUCUCAAGGUGAAGCGUAUCACCCCUCGCCACCUGCAGCUCGCGAUCCGUGGAGACGAGGAGCUGGACACCCUCAUCAAGGGCACCAUCGCUGGUGGUGGUGUCAUCCCUCACAUCCACAAGUCCCUCAUCAACAAGACCUCCAAGGAGUGAAUGAAACGCAAUAACGGGUAGUUGUGCUUUGUAUCUUCGUGAUCCCUUGUUAUGUUGUGCUAUCUGUGAUGUGUUGCUAUUAUCACAACCUGAAUAGGUUGUCUGAAUUUGUGAUGGGGCUAGCUUUCGGUAACUUGUUAUUAGGGAAAGACUUGGCAAAUGUAAUCGUGAUAUGGAACCACUUAUAUUUGGUUUCCUGAAGACCAGACAAUCCUUACUAUUCGUCUUCAUGGAUAUCCAGGUUUAACUUUCUUUUAUUUUUGUUGGUUUCGCUCAAGAUCACUGCAACUGGAGUGCCUGCCGG